rnacentral:rRNA from 1 species
UUUGGUUAAGUUAGAAAGGGCGCACGGUGGAUGCCUUGACACUAGGAGUCGAUGAAGGACGGGACUAACGCCGAUAUGCUUCGGGGAGCUGUAAGUAAGCUUUGAUCCGAAGAUUUCCGAAUGGGGAAACCCACCAUACGUAAUGGUAUGGUAUCCUUAUCUGAAUACAUAGGGUAAGGAAGACAGACCCAGGGAACUGAAACAUCUAAGUACCUGGAGGAAGAGAAAGCAAAUGCGAUUUCCUGAGUAGCGGCGAGCGAAACGGAACAUAGCCCAAACCAAGAGGCUUGCCUCUUGGGGUUGUAGGACAUUCUAUACGGAGUUACAAAAGAACGAGGUAGACGAAGCGACCUGGAAAGGUCCGUCGUAGAGGGUAACAACCCCGUAGUCGAAACUUCGUUCUCUCUUGAAUGUAUCCUGAGUACGGCGGAACACGUGAAAUUCCGUCGGAAUCUGGGAGGACCAUCUCCCAAGGCUAAAUACUCCCUAGUGAUCGAUAGUGAACCAGUACCGUGAGGGAAAGGUGAAAAGCACCCCGGAAGGGGAGUGAAAGAGAUCCUGAAACCGUGUGCCUACAAAUAGUCAGAGCCCGUUAACGGGUGAUGGCGUGCCUUUUGUAGAAUGAACCGGCGAGUUACGAUCCCGUGCGAGGUUAAGCUGAAGAGGCGGAGCCGCAGCGAAAGCGAGUCUGAAUAGGGCGUUUAGUACGUGGUCGUAGACCCGAAACCAGGUGAUCUACCCAUGUCCAGGGUGAAGUUCAGGUAACACUGAAUGGAGGCCCGAACCCACGCACGUUGAAAAGUGCGGGGAUGAGGUGUGGGUAGCGGAGAAAUUCCAAUCGAACCUGGAGAUAGCUGGUUCUCCCCGAAAUAGCUUUAGGGCUAGCCUUAAGUGUAAGAGUCUUGGAGGUAGAGCACUGAUUGGACUAGGGGUCCUCAUCGGAUUACCGAAUUCAGUCAAACUCCGAAUGCCAAUGACUUAUCCUUAGGAGUCAGACUGCGAGUGAUAAGAUCCGUAGUCAAAAGGGAAACAGCCCAGACCGCCAGCUAAGGUCCCAAAGUGUGUAUUAAGUGGAAAAGGAUGUGGAGUUGCUUAGACAACUAGGAUGUUGGCUUAGAAGCAGCCACCAUUUAAAGAGUGCGUAAUAGCUCACUAGUCGAGUGACUCUGCGCCGAAAAUGUACCGGGGCUAAAUACACCACCGAAGCUGCGGAUUGAUACCAAUGGUAUCAGUGGUAGGGGAGCGUUCUAAGGACAGUGAAGUCAGACCGGAAGGACUGGUGGAGUGCUUAGAAGUGAGAAUGCCGGUAUGAGUAGCGAAAGACGGGUGAGAAUCCCGUCCACCGAAUGCCUAAGGUUUCCUGAGGAAGGCUCGUCCGCUCAGGGUUAGUCAGGACCUAAGCCGAGGCCGACAGGCGUAGGCGAUGGACAACAGGUUGAUAUUCCUGUACCACCUCUUUAUCGUUUGAGCAAUGGAGGGACGCAGAAGGAUAGAAGAAGCGUGCGAUUGGUUGUGCACGUCCAAGCAGUUAGGCUGAUAAGUAGGCAAAUCCGCUUAUCAUAAAGGCUGAGCUGUGAUGGGGAAGCUCCUUAUGGAGCGAAGUCUUUGAUUCCCCGCUGCCAAGAAAAGCUUCUAGCGAGAUAAAAGGUGCCUGUACCGCAAACCGACACAGGUAGGCGAGGAGAGAAUCCUAAGGUGUGCGAGAGAACUCUGGUUAAGGAACUCGGCAAAAUGACCCCGUAACUUCGGGAGAAGGGGUGCUUUCUUAACGGAAAGCCGCAGUGAAUAGGCCCAAGCGACUGUUUAGCAAAAACACAGCUCUCUGCGAAGCCGUAAGGCGAAGUAUAGGGGGUGACACCUGCCCGGUGCUGGAAGGUUAAGGAGAGGGGUUAGCGUAAGCGAAGCUCUGAACUGAAGCCCCAGUAAACGGCGGCCGUAACUAUAACGGUCCUAAGGUAGCGAAAUUCCUUGUCGGGUAAGUUCCGACCCGCACGAAAGGUGUAACGAUUUGGGCACUGUCUCAACCAGAGACUCGGUGAAAUUAUAGUACCUGUGAAGAUGCAGGUUACCCGCGACAGGACGGAAAGACCCCGUGGAGCUUUACUGUAGCCUGAUAUUGAAUUUUGGUACAGUUUGUACAGGAUAGGCGGGAGCCAUUGAAACCGGAGCGCUAGCUUCGGUGGAGGCGCUGGUGGGAUACCGCCCUGACUGUAUUGAAAUUCUAACCUACGGGUCUUAUCGACCCGGGAGACAGUGUCAGGUGGGCAGUUUGACUGGGGCGGUCGCCUCCUAAAGUGUAACGGAGGCGCCCAAAGGUUCCCUCAGAAUGGUUGGAAAUCAUUCGUAGAGUGCAAAGGCAUAAGGGAGCUUGACUGCGAGACCUACAAGUCGAGCAGGGACGAAAGUCGGGCUUAGUGAUCCGGUGGUUCCGCAUGGAAGGGCCAUCGCUCAACGGAUAAAAGCUACCCCGGGGAUAACAGGCUUAUCUCCCCCAAGAGUCCACAUCGACGGGGAGGUUUGGCACCUCGAUGUCGGCUCAUCGCAUCCUGGGGCUGUAGUCGGUCCCAAGGGUUGGGCUGUUCGCCCAUUAAAGCGGUACGCGAGCUGGGUUCAGAACGUCGUGAGACAGUUCGGUCCCUAUCCGUCGUGGGCGUAGGAAAUUUGAGAGGAGCUGUCCUUAGUACGAGAGGACCGGGAUGGACGCACCGCUGGUGUACCAGUUGUUCUGCCAAGGGCAUAGCUGGGUAGCUAUGUGCGGAAGGGAUAAGUGCUGAAAGCAUCUAAGCAUGAAGCCCCCCUCAAGAUGAGAUUUCCCAUAGCGUAAGCUAGUAAGAUCCCUGAAAGAUGAUCAGGUUGAUAGGUUCGAGGUGGAAGCAUGGUGACAUGUGGAGCUGACGAAUACUAAUAGAUCGAGGACUUAACCAUAUAA